rnacentral:rRNA from 1 species
UGGGGAAUUUUGGACAAUGGGCGAAAGCCUGAUCCAGCAAUGCCGCGUGUGUGAAGAAGGCCUUCGGGUUGUAAAGCACUUUUGUCCGGAAAGAAAUCCUUGGCUCUAAUACAGUCGGGGGAUGACGGUACCGGAAGAAUAAGCACCGGCUAACUACGUGCCAGCAGCCGCGGUAAUACGUAGGGUGCAAGCGUUAAUCGGAAUUACUGGGCGUAAAGCGUGCGCAGGCGGUUUGCUAAGACCGAUGUGAAAUCCCCGGGCUCAACCUGGGAACUGCAUUGGUGACUGGCAGGCUAGAGUAUGGCAGAGGGGGGUAGAAUUCCACGUGUAGCAGUGAAAUGCGUAGAGAUGUGGAGGAAUACCGAUGGCGAAGGCAGCCCCCUGGGCCAAUACUGACGCUCAUGCACGAAAGCGUGGGGAGCAAAACAGGAUUAGAUACCCUGGUAGUCCACGCCCUAAAACGAUGUCAACUAGUUGUUGGGGAUUCAUUCCUUAGUAACGUAGCUAACGCGUGAAGUUGACCGCCUGGGGAGUACGGUCGCAAGAUUAAAACUUAAAGGAAUUGACGGGGUCAUAGCUGUUUCCU